rnacentral:sRNA from 1 species
GCACUGGCAAAAUCCAGUGUCGGGAUUGAGACCCCGUUUACCAAAGCGGCCUAGAACACGCUCCGCGUGUUUUUU